rnacentral:rRNA from 1 species
UACGUAGGGCGCAAGCGUUAUCCGGAAUUAUUGGGCGUAAAGAGCUCGUAGGCGGCUUGUCGCGUCGUCCGUGAAAACCUGGGGCUCAACCCCAGGCUUGCGGUCGAUACGGGCAGGCUCGAGUUCGGUAGGGGAGACUGGAAUUCCUGGUGUAGCGGUGAAAUGCGCAGAUAUCAGGAGGAACACCGGUGGCGAAGGCGGGUCUCUGGGCCAUUACUGACACUGAGAAGCGAAAGCAUGGGGAGCGAACAGG